AUUAAACUAUCACAAAUACAACAAAACUUGAGUAACAAUUGUGAAAAAUUAAAUUUCAAUCAACGUAAAUUAAAAUAUUUAAUGUUUACUAAUAUUGGCAUCCCUACUAAUAUUAUUUAAUGGAUUUAACAAAUAUUUAGUAAUGUAAUAUGGGACGUACACUGUUCAAUUGAUGGACCUUGUCAAUUCACACAACACUAAAAUAUUAUUUUAAAAGAAAGGACCGGUUGAGACAUGACAUGAUACGCUUCCCAACGAAACAAUCAGCCAUGCCCUAUUAUGUUGUACGAAUUAGGUUUUGAAAUUGGGGUUUAUUUUGGCACCAAGAUUGAUAAUGUUAGAAAACUUUUUAAAAAAAUUCAUUUUCCCACCACUAACUCAUUUGGAACAGCCUAUAUAUAAACAGGUGCCCCCUUUACUUGUGAGUGACACACAUUAUCUCCACCAUAGUUAGAAAAAAAAAAAAAAAAUUUGUACACCUCACUCAGAAAUUAUAGUACAUCGCACAUGGUGGCUGGUGGUGGAGAAGACUCAUGCGGGUUCGAUGGGGGUGGUCCGCCUUGGAGAAAUUCACUUCAGGGACACCCCCAUUGCUACUGUGGUGAUCUAGCUUAUGUUUGGACUUCUAGUAGUAGAGCAAAUCCUGGUCGUCGAUUCUUCGGAUGUCCACACUAUGAGAACGAUGAAAGUCGAGGAUGUGAUUACUUUUGUUGGAUCGAUAAAUCACAUGGUAAGAGAAGUACAGAUGCUACACCUGGAUUGCGAAACCAAAUCAAGAUUUUCGAAGAAGAUAAGAAACGCAAUGAGAAUGUUAUUAGAAAAUUAAUUUUUAUCAUUUUUAUUUGCCUUCUCAUCAUUGUCCAACUUAUAUUGCGUUGAAGAUAUGGGUUGUCCCAAAAUGCAAAUGUUUUGUAUGUCUUAUGUUCUCAAAACUUGUUUAACUUAAUUGUGUAGAUCUUAAUAGAACCGUGUGGAUGAUGACGAAAAUUUCAUUUGGUAUGAAGUACCCACAACGUUCUCAAAAUUUUAUGUUUUCUACAUUUCUAAUUUCUGUAGCAAAUUUCGUCAAUGGGUUCAAUGUGAAGUUGCAAAAUUGUAUAUUAUUCACAUCUUCGUAUUUGUUAUGUGAAGUAGCGCAAUGAGAAUGUUCUAUAUUCCAUAUUUUUCCUCA